rnacentral:rRNA from 1 species
UACGUAGGGUGCGAGCGUUUGUCCGGAAUUAUUGGGCGUAAAGAGCUCGUAGGCGGUGUGUCACGUCGGCCGUGAAAACCUGCAGCUUAACUGUGGGCGUGCGGUCGAUACGGGCAUCACUGGAGUUCGGCAGGGGAGACUGGAAUUCCUGGUGUAGCGGUGAAAUGCGCAGAUAUCAGGAGGAACACCGGUGGCGAAGGCGGCUCUCUGGGCCUUACCUGACGCUGAGGAGCGAAAGCGUGGGUAGCGAACAGG